rnacentral:sRNA from 1 species
GCUUGUAUUUCUAUGCAGAUGGACAUAGAGAAAGAUAUCCAAGUGGAAUUCUGUGAAGUCCAGACGGCUCUUUCUCAGAUUCAUAACAUGACAGAAGAUGAAGCUGGUAAAAUUCACGAAAUGUCGCAGGCCAACAUACAGAGAUGUCAGUUAAUACAGAACCAGCUAACAGAUGCCAGGGCCUCGAUGAUCAGAACACUAGAACACAAACCCAGGAUCCAGGAAAUAGUCAACAAGCACAUCAGCAAACGACCAAUUAAAAAGAAGGAAAGGACGUAGCAGAGGACAGCCUUUUUUUUAAAACCAUUUUGUUUGUUUGUUUGUUUGUUUGUUUGUUAGCUUUAAUGAUGUGAUACUGAUUGUUUGUAUGUUUUCAAUGCCUAGAAUUCUGAGAUAACCUGUGAAAGGAUUCUGCAUCUGCGGUAAACACUAUUUUGAUUGUAUAACAAAUGUGCAUAUAUUUUUUUUUUGUUCCACUUUUAAUGAUCAUCAAUGCUGAAUAUUUAAUCGAAAAAAAACUGAAACUGUUUUGUUGAAUCUUUCUAAAAGGACAAUGUAAAUGUGUACAGGGGCCAAAGUGGUCUAGGUUAAUACAUGACUUACAGGAAAACAAGCCAUUAGAGAAACUGGCAGCGGCAGUAGGCUUCAAUAACUGCUAGCUGUUAGUUGACUUGAGGCCAUAUAAAUAACAUUUUAAUACAAAUGUGCAUUUAGAGUGACUUGAAGACUGUAAAGGGUAAGAGUAUGUACAUAGUGCAAUCAACUUAAUGGCUAUAUAUUUCUCAAUGUCUGUAACUCUAUUACUAUAGUAUAGACUGGGCCUUGACUUCGUUGAACAAGAUUUCAAACCUUACUUAUUGGUGUGAGCUUGGCAUCAGGGAAUGCUUAGAUGACUUGCUAUCACAUUUUUUUCCCCAAUAGUUGUCAGUAACUUGAUGUUGGUUUGGACUCAACAAUGUUCUGAAUCAAUGUUACUUGAUAAAAUGGUUUCAGCCUUUCAGAAAAAUGAAUCAUCAUUUAGAAACUCAUUUUAUGUAGAACUGAAUUUUUAUUUAUUUCAACUUUUAUUAAUUAUGCCAACUUGUAAAAGCUUAAUAAACAAUUUUUAAAAAAUGUUGGAAAUGCUGAUGAGAGUCUUUCAAAUUUAACCAGAUCGUUUAAAAAAUAGUUAACAUAAAUACAAUUGUUAGUCAUACCAUGGACAUUCACUUGACUAUUGUUGUACAAGAACCAAACCUUUUAAUACAGACAGAAAAGGACGAUGUACAUUUAAAAACAAAAGUUUAUUGGUUUUUUUUGUUAUGCAUAAAGUCAAAAUGUUUUGUGAUGUUGAGCGCAUAACAUGUAUAAACCUUUGAGUUGACCAGAACAUAGUUCAAGAUAGCUGAAUAGACUCCUUAGUUAUGAGUGUCACUCCAGCUUCUCUUAAUGAUAGGCUGGUUUUAGAGAAAUGCCAGCACUUAAGAGUGAAGGGGGGGAAAAGAACUAAUUUAAAAACAAGAAGGGCACUGUUUGGCUUCUUUUACCUGCUUCAUCCAGAAAGACCCUACAUGUCAAGCUCAUUCUUAUCAGAUAAAUACAGAUCUAAGGAUCCUACUGACCAUUGCUUAGAUCCUCACUUAGAAGUUUCCAAUGCCAGUGUUGUAAUGUUCAGUGUUUUAGGCCUGAGUUAAUUCAAACAACUUAAUGCUGAAAACAAAAUCAAAGCGACAAUUUUUAUUUCCAUGUAGUUGACAUAGGAGAAAUGGGUGGGGGGGAAUUGAACAUACUUGGAUAGUUUCUCCAUUACUGGCAGUUGCCUCAUUCCAUUUCUGUUUUUUUGAACUGGAUCAACUCCUUUUUUUUAUUUCAUAAAAUAAUACAUUAUAAUUUAUUAACAGUUUUUUUUUUAAACCAUAUUCUUGUUUUGUUGUAUUAUCUAGUUCCACUUGUCCUGUCAUGUGACCUAAGAGUGGAGCAAAAGGUUGUUACUAGGGUUCCUAUUCUCAAAUGAUGUAUGACUGCUUUUUAUAUUAGGCUUAUGCAGUUAAAAAAAAAAGGGAAAUGAAUUUUGUGUUGACAGCCUAGUUUGUAGUUGAUAUUGGUGUCCUCUAAAACACCAUGCCAAUUGUUUUAACUUUCUUUUGUUAACUUCUUGUUUAGAGAGCUAUGUAGACUAUUUGUAUGAUUCUAUACAUUGUUUUGCUUGGAGGCAAUCUCUUAAUCCCGGACUUUAUUGUACAGUUCAUGUCAUUAUUGGUAUUGUUCCAUGUAACAGCACCUGUUACACUGGGACUACACAUGUGAAUAUAUACAUACAACUUAUGUGUACUCUUCAAGUCUUGAUGAUGAUGAAUGAAAUAAAUUAUUUCCAUUUUUA